AAGAGAGUAAACAAAGGGGAACUCGCAUACUGGAUCGACACCCUCGACAUUUUUCCAACUUUUGUAAUUGAUCAUUCCAAAUAAUGUAU
rnacentral:sRNA from 1 species